UUCCGACACCAAACCAAAAAGGAAUAUGGAGUUUACUACAAAAAUAACAUCAUUCUCUCUCUUAUUUCUCUCUCUCAUAAACCCGACCUUGACCACUGCCACAUGCAGUACCGCCGUUUGUCGCAAUGGCGAUCCAAUUAUCCGUUUCCCUUUCCGUUUAAAAUCCCACCAACCCCAAUCUUGCGGUUAUGACAAAGGGUUCGACCUAACCUGCGGUAAUAAUAACGGCGUUAACAGAACCACCAUAAGACUACCAUUCUCUGGUAACUUCACCAUCGAGAUGAUCGAUUACGCAGCUCAAGAGAUUUUACUCGCCGACCCAAAUAACUGUCUUCCUAAACGCCUCUUAACGCUAAACCUCACUUCGACGCCGUUUGAUGGCGUUUACACACGUCGGUUCACGUUUUUUAGCUUCCCGACGUCGGGAUAUCUUCGUUUUGGGAGGUUCAAUCCGAUAACGUGUUUGAGCGAUGAAAACAGCACCGUGUUUGCCACUGCUUUUCCUAGAGCGGUGAACUACCUGUCCGCUCAGUCGUGCCGGUUAAUGAAAACCGUUAACGUUCCGGUUCGUUGGCCGGCUUAUGAGCAUGCCGUUUCGUAUUGGGGACUCAGUGAUAACCUAUGGCUCACUUGGAGGGUCCCGAGAUGCCGCCGGUGUGAGAGUAGAGGUGGUAAGUGUGGGAUUAAGAGUAAUUCUUCUCGUGAAAUCAUAUGCUCUGAUGCUCCUAAGCCAGGUAACUAAUUUUAUAAUCACCGUUAUCUUCCAUUUUUAAUAGUAUUACAGAAUGAUUAAAAUUGUCUUUGAUCUUAAAUUUUGAUGGCAAGAGUACAAUUUAAUAUAUAUCAAGUCAAAAAUGCAACUAAUACGACGAUUAGAGUAUAUUAGUUAAAGUUGACGUAGACCAUGACGAAAUUUCGUGUUGAAUGAGUCAUGCGUAUUUGCGUGUUAGUGUUUAUAUAUAUAGAAUGAUGAAUAUAAACAAAUUUGGAAAAAUGGCAAGUUUAACAACCAAAUAGUUUGUCGGUUUUAAUUGUCUAACUAUGAAAACGUCAUGAGACGGCUCAAGACGAUAUAAUAUUGUAGAUAUGCGUAUUGUACACAUAUGCAAAUUCUUCUACGGACGAAACAAAUCUAGUAGAAAUAGUAAACCUACCUACCGUAUAAAAAAGAGAAAAUGACUAGGAUAACAAUAAAAUUUUUUUUGUCAUAAAUAUAGUUUUUAAGAAUAAAAAUGACCAAAAUAGCAUUUAAUGUUUUAUCAAAAUAGAUAAAUAUACACUUAUACUCCAAUGGUAAAUUAAUUUAGACAUUAGGGUUUAAAGUUAAGGGAUGAAGUUUAGGAUUUAGGCUUUAGGGUUUAGGAUCUAGGGUCUAGGGUUUAGGGUUUAGAGUUAAGGGGUGGGGUUUAGAAUUUAGGAUUUAGGGUUUAGGGUUUAGAGUUUAGAGUUUAGGGCUUAGGGUUUAGAGUUUAGGUUUUAAGGUUUAGAGUUGGGGAGUGGGGUUUUGGGAUAAAAUUUUAAAUUUUGAAAAAUAAAAUAAAAUUAAAUUUUUCAAAAGAUAAAAUGCUAUUUUGGUCAUUUUAGUUUUUGUGACAUAAACUUAAAAGUUGACGUGAAAAUUUUUAAAAGUCACACACGAAACAUAUACUAACGAGUCUUAUUCCCAUAGUGGCAAGCUUAUAUAUGAACGUUUCUUUUAGAACAGCUUAUAUAUGAACGUUAAAGGCACAUCAAACCUUGUUCCUCACGUUACACGUAUAGUAAAAGUUAUAAGACUUUUUUUAACUGAUUAUCAUAGAUGUAUAUAUAUGCUACUGAGAGAAAAAAAUAUAGAUCAUAUAACAAUACUUACUAUCUUCACUUUAUAAUGCUGAAAUUAAUUCAAAAUUUAUAUUUGGUUUUAAAUUAUCAGUUUUAGCAGAAAUAAAAUUUGAUUCUUUAACAUCUGAAACAAACAACAAUGAAUAAAAUUAUUAGAUAGCUAAAACACGAUUUGAUUCUUUAACAUCUGAAACAAACAACAAUGAAUAAAAUUAUUAGAUAGCUAAAACACGAUUCGUACAAAAAGGAACUAAAUAUGGUAAUUAUGAUUUUUAUAACAUUACUUUCAUGUUUGUCGUAAAUAAACACUAUAAAGUAGACAUUAUAGUUGAGAAGAAUGACACUGACAGGUUGAGCGAUAAUAUUAAGUUCGCUGCCAUAAUAUUAUGAAAGCUCUUAGAGCAUCAUUAUCCCAGUUGCUAAGCUAGGUAGCUUAGUCUUAAUAGCAAUUAAAAAAAAUGGAAAUUAAGUUAAAUGAGAGGGAACGUUGCUUAAUUAGGCGCAAGAAGAGACCGUAGUUUGAGACACGUGUUGGACAAAAGGGCUACAUCUCUUUCCCUCUUCCCACUCCGUGUCUCUCUCUCUCCCUUUCGUCGACCACACCGCUUCUCUUUCUCUCUUCUCCUCGAGGACUCCGCUUCCCUUUGUUCAUCUCUCAACGAUCGGAUGAAUCAGCCGAGAUGAAUCAGUUGGCAUCUCUGUGGUCUCGUCGUCUCUGUCGGUUGAUUCGUCGUCUUUCUCGCUGUCCUUGACGACUCCGCGACUCUGUAGCUCUCCUCGACGACUCCACAUGCGUUUCUCGAUCUCUCCUCGACGAUGAACCAUGCGGCGUCUCUCUCUCUGGCCCUCGUCGAGGGUAAAAAACCUCUAGCUCUCUCUCGACGGCUCAUCCCGAGGAAGAAUCACUCCACCGAAUCGAAAGAUGGAACUCCAUAGAAGAUACAAUCAUAAAUUCUCUUGAGAGAGAAUCGAGCUUCUUUCCAAACUGAAGGAGCGAGGAGCAAAGUUCGUCAUCUGCAAAAAUCUUGUCUUUCUCUCUUAAUACAGUGUCCAUCCUUGAUCACCGUCUUCUUCGUCUUGAGUGUCUGAGAUUUGACCGAUGGUGUAGUUUGCUGACCAGUCGGCGAGAAGGUAAGCGAACCAUAUGAGGAAGACGAAGAGCUUCCCGGAUGUGCGUUUUCUGCUGGGUGAAAAGACGACAAGGAUCACUUGGAGUGAGAGACUGAAGAUUAUGAGAACACGAAUGUUCCAUUCUUCCCAAAGAUUCUUCACGUCCUUCGGGAUCGUGUCUGCUGCCAUGUCCCCUGUUCUUUAGAUUUGAAAACAGAGCUAUUACUGUGUGAUCAUCAGUUUUGCCUCCGUAAGUCAAAACCUUUAGUUUUUGGAACAAAACCAACUGUUUCACAAAAACAAAUGGUGGUAAGUCAAAACCUUCAAUGUAAUAAUCCAAAUUGAAUAUAAAACCUCUUACUUCUGCAACAA